UCUCUACCCCUCCCAUCCCUACCUAUGUCUUCCCCUCCCCUCCCUUCUCCUCUCUCUGUCUCCCUCCCUUUCUUACAUAAAACCAAGAGCCUGGAAGCAUAGCGCAUCUCAGGCAGAAGGCCAGGGUGCUUUCAGCCCUGUCUCCUAUUUCCUCCUGCACUGCUGUUGAGGAUCAGCUGGUCACACGCCUUCCUGGAAUGUGCAUGAUGAUAAUUGCCUCUUGCACAAUUAUCUGCCAAGCCAUGUCGGUAAUGAAAUGAAUGAUUUAGUUAUCCUUGUUAGGAAUAGCCCACAAUGCUCAGAAACUCAUUAUUGCAGCCACGAGGCUGGCAGGAAUGCCCUCUGAGGCACCUGCAAGUGAGCGGCUCUUACAAUUAGCUCUCUCUUUUCUGCCAGAGACCACAGGCCCACCCUGCCCCCACCAUGAACCAAGCGCUGGAAGCAUUCUAGGGGACCGCUAAUAAAUAAGCCUGAGGCUGAGGUUCAGCUGCAGAUCUUACUGGACAAGCACAGGGCCUUGGGCUUGAUGUCCAUCACUGAAAGAAAUAUGAGGCUGGACUGGGCUUCUCAUCUGCCAGCUUUGACCCACACAGCAUGAAACUGCUUCCUUCCAGUGCAUGGGAAGGCUUACCACAAGCUCUGUGGUGAUGAGCAUGGUGCAGAGGCCACUAGGGUUCUGAAGAAAGCUUCCCUGGUCAGCUAAAUGCAGGGCUCACAUUCUACCCCAUGAUCCCAUUUCACACUGCCUCUCUGGAGGCUUUUCUUGUCCAUUGUUUCAUAGUGAUGGUUCAGCCUCUCCCCCUGCCUCAGCCUUUCUCUACUGCCUGUAGCUGCUGGGUCUCAAGGGUAAGGAGGAUGAAGAAAGGCAGAUCGAGAUGGGUGUGGCUGGGGAAAGUUGAAGCCAGGGAUGCAGAGACACACACAUGGUGUUUGAGGGAAGCUGUACCACAUGAAUCUCCACGUGUGCCCACGUGUUCUCUUCUUGUUUUCUGGAAGAUUCAAUUCAGAAUUAACUUCUUUGGGACAGGGGAAAAAAGCCCGCACAGUUUUAGUUCAGCUUUGAAGCAGAAACAUUGCUCAUUGACCACCCCUAGAGCAGCACACCUCUGAGGCCUGCAAAUGGGGUGAGUGCCUAAACCCGGCCUGGCUCCACCCUCUUCAUGGCUCCAGUCUGGAUAAGUGAUGUGGAAGGACCCUGGAGGGGACAUGGCAUCACAUCUCAGGCAGCCCAGCAUGUGCAGCCCAGCGUGGUUCUAGGAAGCCACUGUCCUUUCCACAUCUUGAGGUCUCUUCAUCAUCUUGGCCUCAGGUGUGUAAACUGGAGAGUUCCCUGACCGUGGUCCUUUGCGUCUUUACAGGGUUACAGGGCACAGUCUGUCGGAAGGGGAAACUGAGGCACUGUUUUGUAAAGAGUCCGGUGGGAGGAGAUGCUCUGUGGUUGCUGUGGAGCCAGGUGCAGGAGUUGGGUGUUGUUCUUCCUCUUGUGAAGUGAGGAGGGUGGAGCUUAUGAACAAGAAUUCUAUGGACAGCCAUUUUAAUCUCGGCUCUGUAGGCACAGGUUGAGGGAGGUAGUGGAAGGAAGCCUUGAUCUGGAGUAUGCGGUGACUACAACUUUCCUGCAGAUCCUUGUAGAAUCUAGGUCAGUCUUGAGUUCAUGUCUACAUGGUAAGAGCACCUUUGCAAGAGAAGACAUUGUGAGACAGUCCCCACUGGGACAGUAGAAGACUGUCCACCGCCUUGUGGCACUGUCCACCCCGAGUUCCUCCUGACCCUUGUCCUCCGUGGUGCCUCUUAUUCUCUUUGAUUGUAAGAAGAGCAGGGUGUGCGGUCAGAGUGGACACCGAUGGCUUUGGGGACUGUGUGUGUGUGUGUGUGUGUGUGUGUGUGUGUGUGUGUGUGUGUGCCUGUGAAUGUGUGAAGGGGCUGGGGCUCACCAGCAGACCAGAGCACAGGAUCAGAGAGUUCCGGGUGAGGUGGGGCAAGUCUGGAGUCAGCCCAGAGGAUGCUUGAGCCACACUCCUGUCAGCCUGCACAGCUGGAGCAACAAUCGUGGUUGCACUCACUGAGGAGCGAAAAGCAGCCCUGGAAGGAGUAAGUAAAGCAGCGGAGGACCAGAGGGUUUGGUGGGAAGUGGAAGAAUCCGGGGAUGCUCAGUCAUAGCCGGCCUUAGAGUAAGAGACAAGAAGAAAACUGAAGAGGGGGUAUCUUUGCGCCUGUCCGUCCCCGGCCUUCACCCCCUACCUGAUGCACAUAUCCAUAUGCCUGUCCCUUGAACCCUGUCAUCUUGAAGCCAGAGGCUAGAGAUCUCAAAUAGAGCAACCAAGGGUGAGCGCAAGGACCACCGUCACCAAUAGCAUGUCCUGCAGUAUACAGACGGUGCACGUUGCGUGUCCCAAAGCAAGCCCAGAGGUCAGUGCCUGUGUCAGGGUGAUGGGGAGGGGAUCCUAGGUUCAUAGACUCGCAGAGGGAGGCAGGAAGUGCAGGCAGCAAGGGUUUAGACAAGAUGCAAAUCCUGCUUCUACUUCCAGGUGCUCACUUGGCCGUACCCUGGAAAGCGGUGGAAUACGCCAGCCUGGGCCUCAGACAACAGAGGUAGGAGACAGUGUCCGGCAAUGGGGACUUUUCACUUGUUUACUCAGCUGACCUGCCGUUCUGCAGAUAAGAGGUGGGACUGAACAUGUUGUGGAGCUGGCUAAGGGACGGAUGGGAUGGGGAGCAGCCAUCCAAACUGCCAUUGUCCCAUUUUGCUUCUCUAGAUUCAAGGACAUGCCUGGUUUCUGGUCCAUAUGCCACUCCCAGAGAACCUAAGAACCUUCUUUGUUUUCAGCCUUCUCCAGGUAACAGUGGACCCUGUGGUUUUAGUCCCAGAAGGACCCUUGGGAGCUGGCAGGCUCCCUUGCCUACAGCUUGGGCCUGGUGUUCUUUCCAGGCCAUAUAUUCUAAGAGAUGUAGGUCCAUUCCUUUUGGGGGCUCCUAAGGGAUGAGUCGGAAGGCUUUGGAGGAAUCACUGUAAUGUCUAAGACCCCUUUUUUUAUUGUCUCUGGACAUUCCAACCUUAGUGAAUCAUCUUAACUGAAAUCAGUGAGGUCUGGCAGCCAGACAGCCAGUGUGGAAUUCACCAUGGCCUCAGACGCCACUGCCACUACCAUUUCUUCCAGCUGCUGCAAACCUCUGCCCGGCUCUCUAAGCCCACAAAUGUGGCCCUUCCUUAGAUCCUUGGGAACCACUAUUCCAGAGGUGCACAAGGAGCUUUUACUGUGUCCAACACAGCAUCUACCCCAGGGGGCUCCCAGUGGGGCCCGGGGCAGGGGUGUCAGGUGAUGUAGGCGAGUAUUAGUCAGGGGAGACAGACAGUUAAAGGUGCAAACUGUGGGCAUGUAGAGGAGGCAGCACCUGCCUCUGGGGAAGGGCCUGGGGUAUCAGAAAAUGCUUUUCAUGAGAGGUGGCGACAAUUCAUGUUUGUACCGAGCAGGAGACUGAGCUGGGCUCAUAGGUCUUCAUGGCACCACCGGUCGAGGCACCGAAGGUGCAGAGGUCAAGCACAUCACAGAGGUCAGGAAGCAGAGGCAGGAUGCAAAGCCAGGUGCUCUGGCUGUAGAGCCUGUAUCCCCAUCCCUGGUCCCUAGCCUCUAGAGGAGCCAGUGAGCUAGCAUGGUGAUGCAAGGCUCACCUGCCUCCUUCUUAUUAGUUUGCUGUCUGCCAAAAUGGCAGAGUGACCUACUCCAAACACCAAAGGACCUCACACCACCUUUGUGGGUAGUUGAAUGCUUUGCUGAAGCUGAGGCUGAGGCUGGAGGCCUGUGGUUGCCCCCGGCUUCUGCCAGCCCCGGAGCCUGUGGAGGAGGCACCUCGGGGCUCUGGCUUUAGCUUGCUCCAUUAUUUAUUUCUGUCUCCCUCCCAAACUGCAAAGUUGAAAGGUAGGGCCCUUGACUUAACAAAUCUCUUUAAAGACAGGCCCUUCAGAGUGGCUGGUACCGUAUGGGGGACACCGAUACCUCACAGGACACAGAAUGUGCCCUAGAGAAUGUGUCAUUUUAAUGGGAGAACCAGCCACUCUGCCUGCUGCCCGUUCUUGUCCUUGGCAAACCCCGCCUCACACAUGCCACCUUCAUGCUCAGGAUCCUCAGUAGUUCCCGUCGCUUCCAUGACCCCGGAGGCAGGUGUCCUAUCAGGGUGACAGUGCUCACACAGACAAGAGUGGAGCCAAUCAGCACAGCACUGUCAAAUAAAUAAAUAAGUAAAUGGCAGAAGCCAUGUUCCUUAACCAGCCCCCAGGCCCCAUCCUGAACUACCUCCUCUUCCUCAAUUCUGGUGGGUAGCCUACUUCUCCGUCAGGGAUCUCCAUCCACCUGUAGAUGCCCAGGAGCUCAGCGCACUCAGGUGCCACACAUCCUUGCUCUGGCAGAAAGUGGUAUCUCCUCCUGUUUGUUGAAGUUUGUCCAUCUCCAGUCAGCCCCUGACCUAUAGAACAACUCCUGUUCUUUUGGCACCAACCCUGGAGGUUGGAGUGUAUCUUCCGUCCUCAGGCAGCCUUGGAGCUCCUUGUGUAUAGGAAGGAUGUGGGUGCAAACAUUAGUUCAGUCCAGCUCCUUGGUGCCCAGCAGGGCUUCAUGCCUUUUAGAUACCCAGAGUGGUUCAUAGUUGUGGUUUCUAUUUACACACACACACACACACACACACACACACACACACAAGGUCUUGGACACAGUGGAAUGCUCUCAUAGCAUCACUGUGUCGGUCUUCCCAGACAUGAGUGUCAGAAUAUCCUGAGCAAACGUGACUUUGUGACUUGAUCCUCACCUUUGUCCCAGUCCUUCAAGUUCACGACUGCCUGGCUCCUGACUGACCACAACUUGCUCACUCUGCCAGUCACUCAACUAUGGUGGGCUGGGGCUGAGGACACAACAGGAAGUUGGGGAGAAGAGCACGUGCCAGAAGAACCACUGUGAGUGGCGUGAGAUGGUGUUCCUGGGGCCUUUCGACAGGAGGCAGUGAACAAGCUCCCAUGGCAUUUUACCAGUUUGGGUGUCCAUUCUGCCAGUUCUUUGCCGUGUGACAUGAAACUCUCCUGGGAGUGUGGCGGGGCUCAGUGUGUACGUGUGAAUGGAGAGUUACAAUAUCUACCUACUAAAGGGAAUGUUUGGAAAGAGGGUUGAACUCGACGAUGCCUGGGCAUUUCCUAGACUGGCAGAGCUUGGUCACAGCCACGGGACAGUCACAUCAUUACUGCUAAUGGUUCUAUUUCAACCAGAAGCAGAGUGAAAGUUUCUGGAUUGGAAAAUCCUAUCUGAGGCCCAACAAGUCACUGGAUGGAAAAUGGGUCUAGCGUCAUGGGACCUGGGCAGGGCCUUAGUGUGAGAAAACCAGCCGCCGGGGGAGCAGAUCCAACCUGGCUCUCGGCCUCCACCCCACACGUGGCAGCCAAGAACCUGCUUUGCUUUUCUCUUCAUUUCUUUUCUCUCUCCUUUGUUUGACUUUUUCGUGGUUGGGGAUUGAACCUGGGCAUCACGCACGGACUCUGCCACGGAGCUAUGUCUUCAACUCUUUCUGUUUUUAUUUUUAAGACAGAGUCUUUUACUAACUCACCCAAGCUUGUCUUGAACUCAUAAUCCUCCUGCCUCAGUCUCCCUAAUAGCCAGGAUUACAGGCCUGGCUAAGAAUCUGAAUUUUCAACGAACAAAAUCCUUCCAUGAUCAAGGUUGGCCUUAGUAUAUUUGGAAGUCCUUUUGUGAUCACCCCAGGAGUUUCUCCUCUUCUUUUCUAAGCUAGUAGCCAUCUGCCCGCAGACAGGUAGACACCGUGGGAACAGAAGGCCCACAGAAACAGCUGGUUGACCCCUGGUUAACCCUGUCAGUAGGAUGUAGUCUCACCGAACUUCCCCUUCAUGACCAGCAGAUGGCGAGCGUGUGUUAGUGCUGCUGAUUCCUGGAUGCCAUCCAAUUAUUUGCAAGGGGUGUCUGAAGUUCUAGAAGACGAGCCUGGAGGAAGAAGGCCCCAAGAAUGGACACAAUUCCCUCCUCCCUCUCCAGGUCUUCCUUCUGUGAGAACCUACGUCAGCUCACCUUCCAGUGUGCCUGUUGACAUGGCACCAUGCUCUUCAACUGAUGGGCCAGAGUCCAGGGCACUCUGCCUGGGAAGGAACAGUCUGUGGCCAUCACUGCUCACUCUCUCUGCCAUCUCUUCACCAAGUACUGCUUACAGAUGAAUUUCAAAGCAACCAUGGUUUUCCAUGUUGGCCUCAUCAUCCUUUUCUUCAGCUUCCACCAGAAGACAUCUCUCAAGGGACACUGGAAGAGGCUGACUUAAAUAAAGAGUAGGACCAGAGACCAAGACCAAUAGAGGUAUCUUCAUGGAGAUCUGGGCAGAGGACAGCAUAGCACUCAUCAGACCUCCCCUGUCCCGCCCCAAGAGCUGCAGUUCAU